CAUGUAAUUCACGUGUCGAUCCCGUGUAAUUCACAUGUCGAUUCCCUGCUGAUUGGGCCUCCUUCCUGUGUUAAUCCCAUGUCGAUCACAUGUUGAUCACAUGUAAUUAGCAUGUUGAUUGUGCCUUGACCCCGUCCCCGUCCCGUGUCGAUCCUGUGUCGAUCCCAUGUUCAUUCCGUGUAAUUCACAUGUCGAUUUCCUGCUGAUUGGGCCUCCUCACUGUGUUAAUCCCAUGUUGAUCACAUGUAAUUAACAUGUUGAUUGUGCCUUGACCCCGUCCCCAUCCCGGGUUGAUCCCAUGUUCAUCCCGUGUCCAUCCCGUGUAGUUCACGUGUCGAUUCCCUGCUGAUUGGGCCUGCAUCCCGUGUUCAUCCCGUGUUAACCGCAUGUUGAUCCCGUGUCGAUCGCCUGUAAUUCGCAUGUAAUUGGCGUGUGGAUGCUCCCGGGGGGGAGGGGGGGUCCCUCUCGGUCCCGUCUCCGUCCCGUGUCAAUACAUGUCGAUCCCAUGUUCAUCCCGUGUCGGCUGCCUGGUCUUUCUUUCCGCGUCCGUCUCACGUCACUCGCGUGUCCGUCCCGUGUCCUUCACGUGUCGCCCCCUUCCCCCCCCUCCCUUGGUGCUGCCUUUGUCCUGUGUCCCUCCCAUGUAGAUCCCGUGUCCCUCCCGUGUCCAUCCCAUGUCCCAUGUAGAUCCCGUGUCCAUCCCAUGUCCCUCCCGUGUCCCUCCCAUGUCCAUCCCAUGUCCCUCCCAUGUCCAUCCUGUGUCCAUCCCGUGUCCUAUGUCCAUCCCGUGUCCCAUGUAGAUCCCAUGUCCCUCCCAUGUCCAUCCCGUGUCCAUCCCGUGUCCAUCCCAUGUCCUAUGUCCAUCCCGUGUCCCAUGUAGAUCCCAUGUGCCUCCCAUGUCCCUCCUGUGUCCCUCCUGUGUCCAUCGUAGAUCCCAUGUAAAUCCCAUGUAGAUCCCAUGUCCUUCCCGUGUCCCUCCCGUGUCCAUCCCAUGUCCUUCCCAUGUCCCAUGUAGAUCCCGUGUCCAUCCCAUGUUGCGUGUAGAUCCCAUGUCCUUUCCAUGUCCAUCCCAUGUCCUUCCUGUGGCCUUCCCAUGUAGAUCCCGUGUCCAUCCCAUGUAAAUCCCAUGUAGAUCCCAUGUCC
rnacentral:lncRNA from 1 species